GCCGGAGUAGCUCAGCUGGUAGAGCAGCCGCCUUGUAAGCGGCAGGUCGCCGGUUCGAAUCCGGCCUCCGGCU
rnacentral:tRNA from 1 species